rnacentral:tRNA from 1 species
UAGCCUAGUGGUUCAGGCUAUGGAUCGCCAAUCCGGAGACUGCGGGUUCGAUUCCCGU